UACGAAGGGGGCUAGCGUUGCUCGGAAUUACUGGGCGUAAAGCGCACGUAGGCGGACUCUUAAGUCGGUGGUGAAAUCCUGGAGCUCAACUCCAGAACUGCCUUCGAUACUGGGAGUCUUGAGUCCGGGAGAGGUGAGUGGAACUGCGAGUGUAGAGGUGAAAUUCGUAGAUAUUCGCAAGAACACCAGUGGCGAAGGCGGCACACUGGCCCGGUACUGACGCUGAGGUGCGAAAGCGUGGGGAGCAAACAGG
rnacentral:rRNA from 1 species